AUUGAACGCUGGCGGCAUGCCUUACACAUGCAAGUCGAACGGCAGCGGGGGAGAAGCUUGCUUUUCCUGCCGGCGAGUGGCGAAGGGGUGAGUAAUACAUCGGAACGUGCCCUGUAGUGGGGGAUAACUAGUCGAAAGAUUAGCUAAUACCGCAUACGACCUGAGGGUGAAAGUGGGGGACCGCAAGGCCUCAUGCUAUAGGAGCGGCCGAUGUCUGAUUAGCUAGUUGGUGGGGUAAAGGCCCACCAAGGCGACGAUCAGUAGCUGGUCUGAGAGGACGAUCAGCCACACUGGGACUGAGACACGGCCCAGACUCCUACGGGAGGCAGCAGUGGGGAAUUUUGGACAAUGGGCGAAAGCCUGAUCCAGCAAUGCCGCGUGUGUGAAGAAGGCCUUCGGGUUGUAAAGCACUUUUGUCCGGAAAGAAAUGGCUCUGGUUAAUACCUGGGGUCGAUGACGGUACCGGAAGAAUAAGGACCGGCUAACUACGUGCCAGCCGCCGCGGUAA
rnacentral:rRNA from 1 species